CUUUGCAAGAGAUGGCGAGGGCCAUGAUGCUGGGUAAUAAUGUUCCAACUAGAUUCUGGGCUGAGGCCAUUAAUACGGCAUGUUACAUCAUCAAUCGAGUUUAUGUGAAGCCAGGGACCAAGACUACUCCAUAUGAAAUCUGGAAUGGUCGAACACCGAAUGUGAACUACUUUCAUGUGUUUGGGUGUGUGUGUUACAUACUUAAUGACAAAGACAAUCUGGGAAAGUUUGAUUCCAGAAGUGAUGUAGGUAUGUUCCUUGGUUAUUCGACACAUAGCAGAGCCUUUCGAGUCUACAAUCAAUGUACCAGAAUGAUUUCUGAUGCCAUCAAUGUUGUCUUUGAUGACAAAAGCAGUUAUUCUGUGGAUGAGAUUGCCUCUGUUCCAUUGUGUGACUCAGAAGUUCAUGUAGAGGAGAGCCUUAUCGAGGACACCAAGGAUGAAGUGAUUCAAGAUGUUGAGGUGGCUGACGAACCUCAAGUCCCAGUUCAGGUUCAUAGAAAUCACUCUCCAAACGAUCUAAUUGGUAACCUGGAUGAGAGGAGAGUCACACGUGGUAAGAAGAUUGAUUUCAAAGAGCUGGCAAAAUUGGCUUGUUUCAUCUCCUUUGUUGAACCAAGUACGGUGAUCGAAGCCUUGAAUGAUGAAUUCUGGGUAGCUGCAUGUCAUGAGGAGUUAGAGCAGUUUGUUCGACUAGAUGUCUGGGAUCUAGUUCCAAAACCAUCCCACGUGAAUGUUGUUGGUACUAAAUGGAUCUUCAAAAAUAAAACUGAUGAAGAUGGGAAUGUCAUUCGAAAUAAGGCAAGACUGGUUGCUCAGGGGUAUUCUCAGAUAGAGGGAGUUGACUUCGAUGAAACAUUUGCUCCUGUGGCACGCCUUGAAUCCAUUCGGUUACUCUUUGGGAUCGCAUGUAAACUCAAAAUCAAGCUCUACCAGAUGGAUGUGAAGAGUGCCUUUCUCAAUGGGAUUCUGCAGGAAGAGGUAUAUGUGGCUCAACCUAAAGGCUUCGAAGAUCCACAGUUUCCAAACCAUGUAUACAAGCUGAAGAGAGCCUUAUAUGGAUUGAAACAGGCUCUAAGGGCAUGGUAUGAGAGACUCACUCAGUUUCUUCUUCGUGCUGGAUAUCUGAGGGGAAGUGUUGAUAACACCCUGUUCAUUAAAGUUGAGAGGUCUGAGCUUCUGGUGGUUCAAAUAUAUGUUGAUGACAUCAUUUUUGGAGGAACCCACCAAGACCUUGUGGAUACCUUUGUCAAAAUCAUGACAAAGGAGUUUCAAAUGAGCAUGGUUGGAGAACUGAGCUACUUUCUUGGCCUUCAGGUUAAAC
rnacentral:lncRNA from 1 species